UUCGGCCUACGGGGCGCAGCAGUGGGGAAUAUUGCACAAUGGGGGAAACCCUGAUGCAGCGACGCCGCGUGAAGGACGAAGUAUUUCGGUACGUAAACUUCUAUCAGCAGGGAAGAAAAUGACGGUACCUGACCAAGAAGCCCCGGCUAACUACGUGCCAGCAGCCGCGGUAAUACGUAGGGGGCAAGCGUUAUCCGGAUUUACUGGGUGUAAAGGGUGCGUAGACGGCCGUGCAAGUCUGAUGUGAAAACCCGGGGCUCAACCCUGGGACUGCAUUGGAAACCGCAUGGCUGGAGUGUCGGAGG
rnacentral:rRNA from 1 species